rnacentral:SRP_RNA from 2 species
GCUGGGCACAGUGACUCACGCCUGUAAUCUCGGUGCUUUGGAAGGCUGAGGCAGGCAGACUGCUGAGCCCAGGAGAUGGGGGCUGUAGUGCGCUAAGAUUGGCAUCAAUAUGGUGACCUCUUGGGGGAGGCAACCACUAGGUCGCCUAAGGAGGAGCUAACUGGCCCAGGUUGGAAACAGAGCAUGUCAGAAGUCCCACAGUGAUCAGUAGUGGGGUCCUUCCUGUGAACAGCCAGUGAGCUCCAGCCUGGGCAACAUAGUGAGACCCUGUCUCUA